UGGGAGGUUUCUGUUAGGUCCUUCUUGUCUUUUAGCAUUUCUGAUGAACUGACUGGAUAAGUGUAUACAGUUGAAAUGCCUGUGCCUGCAGUGGGAAGCUUAAAGAAAGAGAGCAUCUGCUAAACCCUGUGGCACUGGAGAGAUGUUGAAGCCUUCGUUUCCAGCUCUUGUUCUUCUCUGGGAAAAGCCUUUCUGACACACGUCACUACCAAUGGAAAUCCAUGCCUGACACAGUUUAUGGCUGUGGCUGAUCGACUACUGACGUGGCUGUGCUUUAAUCCAGCCUUCUGAAACGAUCCCAUCAAAGAAGAUCACUGAAAAGAUGUCGUUUUGGUUUUACUUUCAAUAAAUUGAUAUUUCACAGACCAAGAGCACUGUGUAGCUCUGCUUUGGUUUGCUCAGCACAGUUGAGCAAACGACUUCUUCAACUCCGCUCAGAUUAUAGCUUGCUGCAUGGCUCAUUGUAAAGCUUAGACCCAACUAGCAACGUGUGGAGUCAAAAAGGGUUCAGAACGCUGAUAUUACCACUUUUUAUGUGUCAAG